GUGGGGAAUCUUAGACAAUGGGCGCAAGCCUGAUCUAGCCAUGCCGCGUGAGCGAUGAAGGCCUUAGGGUUGUAAAGCUCUUUCAGCUGGGAAGAUAAUGACGGUACCAGCAGAAGAAGCCCCGGCUAACUCCGUGCCAGCAGCCGCGGUAAUACGGAGGGGGCUAGCGUUGUUCGGAAUUACUGGGCGUAAAGCGCACGUAGGCGGAUCAGAAAGUCAGAGGUGAAAUCCCAGGGCUCAACCUUGGAACUGCCUUUGAAACUCCUGAUCUUGAGGUCGAGAGAGGUGAGUGGAAUUCCGGGUGUAGAGGUGAAAUUCGUAGAUAUUCGGAGGAACACCAGUGGCGAAGGCGGCUCACUGGCUCGAUACUGAUGCUGAGGUGCGAAAGCGUGGGGAGCAAACAGGAUUAGAAACCCGAGUAGUCC
rnacentral:rRNA from 1 species